GGGAAGCGAAAGCGGACGACCCUUCGGGGAGCCUCUACAGGUGUUGCAUGGCUGUCGUCAGCUCGUGUCGUGAGAUGUUCGGUUAAGUCCGCUAACGAGCGCAACCCUCGCUGUGUGUUACAAGUGUCACACGGUACUGCCGGUAUUAAGUCGGAGGAAGGUGGGGAUGACGUCAAGUCAGCAUGACCUUUAUAUCCAGGGCUACACACACGCUACAAUGGUCAGUACAAUAGGUUGCCAAGCCGCGAGGCGGAGCCAAUCCUAAAAAGCUGGCCUCAGUUCAGAUUGCAGUCUGCAACUCGACUGCAUGAAGUUGGAGUUGCUAGUAACCGCAGGUCAGCUAUACUGCGGUGAAUACGUUCCCGGGGAUU
rnacentral:rRNA from 1 species